rnacentral:rRNA from 1 species
CACGCAGGCGGUCUAUUAAGUCAGAUGUGAAAGUUUGCAGCUUAACUGUAAAAGUGCAUCUGAUACUGGCAGACUUGAGUCUCGGAGAGGUAAGCGGAAUUCCUAGUGUAGCGGUGAAAUGCGUAGAGAUUAGGAAGAACACCGGUGGCGAAGGCGGCUUACUGGACGAGUACUGACGCUCAGGUGCGAAAGCGUGGGGAGCAAACA